rnacentral:rRNA from 1 species
UACGUAGGGUGCGAGCGUUGUCCGGAAUUACUGGGCGUAAAGAGCUCGUAGGUGGUUUGUCGCGUUGUUCGUGAAAACUCACAGCUUAACUGUGGGCGUGCGGGCGAUACGGGCAGACUGGAGUACUGCAGGGGAGACUGGAAUUCCUGGUGUAGCGGUGGAAUGCGCAGAUAUCAGGAGGAGCACCGGUGGCGAAGGCGGGUCUCUGGGCAGUAACUGACGCUGAGGAGCGAAAGCGUGGGGAGCGAACAGG